rnacentral:rRNA from 1 species
CACGUAGGGCGCAAGCGUUGUCCGGAAUUAUUGGGCGUAAAGAGCUCGUAGGCGGUCUGUUGCGUCCGCUGUGAAAACUCGGGGCUUAACCCCGAGCCUGCAGUGGAUACGGGCAGACUAGAGGUAGGUAGGGGAGAAUGGAAUUCCCGGUGUAGCGGUGAAAUGCGCAGAUAUCGGGAGGAACACCGGUGGCGAAGGCGGCAUCCUGGACCGGUAUUGACGCUGAGGAGCGAAAGCCAGGGGAGCAAACGGG